rnacentral:rRNA from 1 species
UACAGAGGUCCCAAGCGUUGUUCGGAUUCACUGGGCGUAAAGGGUGCGUAGGCGGGUCUUUAAGUCAGGGGUGAAAUCCUGGAGCUCAACUCCAGAACUGCCUUUGAUACUGAAGAUCUUGAGUUCGGGAGAGGUGAGUGGAACUGCGAGUGUAGAGGUGAAAUUCGUAGAUAUUCGCAAGAACACCAGUGGCGAAGGCGGCUCACUGGCCCGAUACUGACGCUGAGGCACGGAAAGCGUGGGGAGCAAACAGG